AUUGCGUUAGUGAUUGCAAUGGAAAUCCUUUUUUAAAACGAAGUUCUACGUAGUUUUUAAAAAAGAUUGUAAUGGAAAGCACGCCCGAAG
rnacentral:sRNA from 1 species